CCUACGGGUGACAGCAGUGAGGAAUAUUGGUCAAUGGGCGAGAGCCUGAACCAGCCAAGUCGCGUGAAGGAUGAAGGUACAGAGUAUCGUAAACCUCUUUUGUCAGGGAACAAAGGCGGGGACGUGUCCCCGGAUGAGUGUACCUGAAGAAAAAGCAUCGGCUAACUCCGUGCCAGCAGCCGCGGUAAUACGGAGGAUGCGAGCGUUAUCCGGAUUUAUUGGGUUUAAAGGGUGCGCAGGCGGUCUGUUAAGUCAGCGGUCAAAGCCCGGGGCUCAACCCCGGCCCGCCGUUGAAACUGGCAGUCUCGAGUUGGAGAGAAGUAUGCGGAAUGCGCGGUGUAGCGGUGAAAUGCAUAGAUAUCGCGCAGAACUCCGAUUGCGAAGGCAGCAUGCCGGCUCCACACUGACGCUGAGGCACGAAAGCGUGGGUAUCGAACAGGAUUAGAUACCCCUGUAGUC
rnacentral:rRNA from 1 species